UGUCUUUUCUACAGAGAGAUGAUACCAGACAUUAACUUUGAAGAUCAUGGAAAGUUGCCCCAACGGAUUGGCAGCCCAUUGUUUACAUGCAUUUCCUCUUUCCUGCGAAUAUAUGUCCCCUUUUUGAAAUUCUACAUCCUUCUUCCUCAACCUGUAACUGUGGCACAGAAGCUCCAGUCAACCUAUCUCUGAGCCUUAUGUUUUUCAAUUUCCCAUAAUUAAGAUUUUUUUUAAGUUUCUUUAAACUGUCUUAUCUCAUUUUAAUUAACAGGCCAAAGAACUCAGAAUGGAGCAAGAAAAACAAGUUUUUCUCUCCUAAAUUCACUUCUGCUGAAUGACCUGAUUUCUGUGCUUCAGACCCCAGAUCUAACGUGAACACGGAGCUGGGGAUCAAGAGGAACAGCAGAUUCAUCACUUCACUGGCAGAGGAAGCCUCAGCAGCUUGAUGCUUUGAAGUGGUUUCCAUUUCAGUCACCAGGACAACUGUAGGAAGACCACUUCAUAUGUUCAGUGAGAAACUUUUCGGUAUUUUUUAGAAUGGUAUGGUAAAA